rnacentral:lncRNA from 1 species
CAGCGAUAUUAACUGCUGUUGACUCCGGAGGUGAUAUUAAUUAUUGAUGCCGUUCCUGUGAUCUCACGUUCUUCCCAAUGUGCAGAGACAUUGUUACUCUAGUUUCCCAUCUUACAAUCACCAUUAUUGAGACGUUUCUAUGUCACAGAGGUAGACCAGAGUCUGAGUCUGCAACUCUGCGAACAGGUACCCUGUGGCCAAGGGCGGAGCCAGUGCCAGGCUUAAACUAGUUAAGAUAGUCUGCUUUCACACUUGAACUGGGCCUGAUGGCUCCCUGGACCCUUGAAGUCUUAUGGAGGUCUGUUGAUGAUAUUGUCAUAAUGCCAUAAAGGAAAUGGAAAUCAUAGAGUAAUGACACAGAGAAUGGCUUCUUGGUCCUCUAUCUACAUCACUGUCCUACUGACGUCAUGGCGACUUCAACAGGAGAAACGCACUGGCUAAGAGAAUCCGCUUCGGGAACUAGCUGAGUUGCUGACCGCAGAAGGGCACAGCGCAUGUGCAGAAGACCCUUACGCGCCAGAGAGGUCUCUGCUCAAAGCACAGUGCUGACAGAGCACGCAGCCCAAGCCUUUUCUUCCUAGCAUCUGUUUAUACAAAUUCUGACCAGGUGGCAAACUCUUCCCCUCUGCUCUCAAGCAACAGGAUGCAGGACAGAGAACACCUGUUCCAAAACUGCUCUGAUUAGCUGGAAGCUGGCAGGUAUAGCAAGGGCUGAGGGCCACUCGGCAGGAGAGGAUCCUGCUGCCUUGUCAGCCCUUGGCUCUGCUCCUGAUCUUGGCUGUAGUCCCUGUCGGUGGCUAAUGGGAUUGAUCCACGGGCAUAAAUCUUUAAACUCCUGCUGGCAAGUGCGACGUUAUCUUAUCCAAGGCCACCACAGUGUGCCACUGCUAUCUAAAAGCAAAUGUUUCCAACUUGAGGAAGAUACUGGAGGUGCAGGUAGGGGUGUGAUGCCCUCCGCUCUCACACAGCUUCCGGGGAAAGUGUGUCAUUCAGGUGAUUGUGCAUGCACAGGCGCACAAACGAUGUGCCAGCAGGAGUGUCUGUGCAGCACAUGUAUCCUCCGCCUAUGAGACCAGAAAAGGGAAGCAGAUCCCUUGGAGCUGAUGUUACAGACCGUCCUGUGCUGCCACGAGGGUGCUGGGAACCAAACUCGGUCCUCUACAUGAAUAUCAAGUACUCUUAACUGUUAAGCCAUCUCUCCAAAACCCGGGACUGAAAUUUAAAGGGUAGAGAAAAAAAAAAAAACCAAAAAAACCAAAAAAACAGUUUUCUCUUCCUCCUUCCCUAUGUCCUAUUUUCUUCGCAUCAAGAGAAGGAUAAAAAUAGCCC